GUCGAGCGGUAACAGGUGUAGCAAUACAUGCUGACGAGCGGCGAACGGGUGAGUAAUGCUUUGGAAUCUUCCCAGUAGUGGGGAAUAACCAGUCGAAAGAUUGGCUAAUACCGCAUACGUCUGUGAAGAGAAAGCGGGGGAUCGUAAGACCUCGCGCUAUUGGAUGAGCCAAAGUCGGAUUAGCUAGUUGGUGGGGUAAUGGCCUACCAAGGCGACAAUCCGUAGCUGGUCUGAGAGGACAACCAGCCACACCGGAACUGAGACACGGUCCGGACUCCUACGGGAGGCAGCAGUGGGGAAUAUUGGACAAUGGGGGAAACCCUGAUCCAGCGACGCCGCGUGUGUGAAGAAGGCCUGCGGGUCGUAAAGCACUUUUAGUGGGGACAAAAAGUCACGAAUUAAUACUUUGUGAUCUUGAUUUAACUCACAGAAAAAGCACCGGCUAACUCUGUGCCAGCAGCCGCGGUAAUACAGAGGGUGCGAGCGUUAAUCGGAAUUACUGGGCGUAAAGCGCGCGUAGACGGUUUGGUAAGUCAGAUGUGAAAUCCCUGGGCUCAACCUGGGAACUGCAUUUGAUACUGCCUGGCUAGAGUAUGGAAGAGGGAAGUGGAAUUUCCGGUGUAGCGGUGAAAUGCGUAGAUAUCGGAAGGAACACCAGUGGCGAAAGCGACUUCCUGGUCCAAUACUGACGUUCAUGUGCGAAAGCGUGGGGAGCAAACAGGAUUAGAUACCCUGGUAGUCCACGCCAUA
rnacentral:rRNA from 1 species